UUAUCUCCUUAUUAAAUAUAAAAGCUUGCCUCGUGUAAUUUCAAAAGUUUCAAAACUGUUUGCAUUAGAGUAUUUUACAGAAUACAGAACCGUUACUAAUAUCGAACAAUAGUAACUAACGGCAUUGAACAUUGAACAUUGAACAUUGACUUCUAGCAAUUAUAUUGAAGAUCUAUAUAAUGAUGAAUAAAUAGAUAUUUCUUUUUUAUAGAUUUUUGUAGAAGUUUAUUGUAUUUAGUUUUAGUAUAUCUAUGUAUUUAAAUUGAUUUUUUAUAUUUAGGUUGAUGGUUUGCAACAUCACUUUGAUGUUUUGAUGUGUGGAGUGAAUGCUGGUGAACUCUAGAUGAUGAAAAGUUUAUGGUCAACUUGCAUUCUUUUUUUAGGAAAUUUGCUAUUUACAGCAAAUUGAUUCAUGCUGGUAGUUAAUUGCAUUGUUGUGGUUGAUGAAAUUACCAAUUUUGUCAAGUCAUUUUGUUGUUUGUUUUCGAGUUUUUAUAUUUUCAAUAUACCAUAUUCAAAAGAAGCUUCAUCUAUAUUAGAAUUUUGUCAAUGUGCAAUUUUCGGCAUCAAUCCUGAAAAAAGGAGCAAAUCACGGCGAACAAAAAAGACUUCAUCAAUAAGCAAAAUUUUGUUGUCAAUACUGCAGAAGUUUGCGAGAUUUAAUAAUAUUUGAAUUUAUCACGUAG